rnacentral:misc_RNA from 1 species
GCAUUCUUUACAUAAUACAUAGCGACAAAUACAUGAGUUUACCUCUUUAGAAUAUUUUGGGACAUUGCACCAUUUAAUCCUCCCUAUUCUUCUCAUCUAAAAAAGGGCAAACAAAAUGAAACGAAAAGAAACAAGGGGAAAACUAAGAGCAUAAUCUGCUUUUCUAAUGGUUGCAGAGGCGCACACACUCGACUACUACAACUCUAAAUGGAAUCGUGGUUCCUUUUUACCUGUAACACUAAUGAAUCCCUCAUCCAAUAGAGUCGAGCCCCUCAGUCCUGCUUCGAACAAUCCUAUGAAACACUUCUCGUACCUGACGCUCCAACGGGCCCAAUCCAUCUUUUAGACCAUAGUAGACUAUCCCAAGCUCCUGAACUCUUUGCUUAACUUCUCCUUCCUUUUCCUCUGAAAGGGGGAAGUGAAUGGUAUCGGUCAAUUCAUUCAUGUGGCGGGCACACAUCUCAAUCUUAUUAAUCUCCCUCAACAAUCCACAAACAUUUUUACGCUCCCUCUUUCUUGACUCCUCCAAAAUCCUAUCAUGGAGGGUGAGAACAGGAGCAGCCCAAACGAAUUGCCUAGUAACAUGAAAAUGCGUUUGAAGGCCACGGUCUUGGCAAGGAAUUGCAGCCACAAGCGUCCACAUUACAAAGUAAAGCACAUAACUCAUUGUAAAAACAGCUGUAGCUAAUCCAUUGGUGGCACUAAUUUCAUUAUUUUUUGGAGCAACUAAGUUUUGACCAAUUGCUUGAAGUUGCUUAGUAGCAGACCAAUUCCGCGAUACACUCCAUGAUAAUGAUCGAAAUUGGCCCAACGAAUUAUUAUCCUUCUGAGCAUUGUUUCGUCCAAAUGACCUGUUUCUAUGAGCAAAACUUGAAUUACUCUCUUUUUCAUCAAUCAUUCCAAUUGCCAAAUCAAUCAAAGCUUUCAUUGAACGACGAAUUUGACCUUCCCCAAUACUCCUCUGGUUAUCCAAUGCAUAAUAAACAAUCUCCAACUGCUUCUGCCAUUGCCUGAUCAACUCAAUCCCAUCACGUAUCGCAUUACACACAUCUAAAGCUUUCACACUCCUUUCG